CCAGACUCCUACGGGAGGCAGCAGUAGGGAAUAUUGCUCAAUGGGGGAAACCCUGAUGCAGCGACGCCGCGUGUGGGAAGACGGUCUUCUGGAUUGUAAACCACUGUCCCCAGGGACGAAAAUGACGGUACCUGGGGAGGAAGCUCCGGCUAACUACGUGCCAGCAGCCGCGGUAAUACGUAGGGGGCAAGCGUUAUCCGGAUUUACUGGGUGUAAAGGGAGCGUAGACGGCAAUGCAAGCCAGAUGUGAAAGCCCGGGGCUCAACCCCGGGACUGCAUUUGGAACUGUGUAGCUGGAGUGUCGGAGAGGCAGGCGGAAUUCCUAGUGUAGCGGUGAAAUGCGUAGAUAUUAGGAGGAACACCAGUGGCGAAGGCGGCCCGCUGGACGAUGACUGACGUUGAGGCUCGAAAGCGUGGGGAGCAAACAGGAUUAGAUACCCGGGUA
rnacentral:rRNA from 1 species